UUCUAUUGUUGCUAUUGCGAAGCGAAAAUGGUGCGCUGCCUAAAAAGGUUCUUUUUGCGAGUGUGGAGUAAUAAGGAGAAGAAGAAAGGGAGAGAUGAUGAUGCUGAACCAAAUGCUCAGCAAGUUACAGAUUGUCCUACAAAGUUGGACGAAAAUUGUCUUGGAACAACGUGUCUCCAUUCAAAUAGAGAGGAUUCGUAGUUCCCAGACAAGUAUUCAAAGAGGAGAAAAUUUAUAGAAUUCUGCAGGAAUGCAUUCUAUAAAUUCUGUUGUUGUUGUCGUAUGUCGGGCGAGAU